rnacentral:rRNA from 1 species
GUACUAAGGUAGCAUAAUCAUUUGCCUUUUAAUUGAAGGAUAGAAUGAAAGAGACAACGAGCCAUGACAACGUCUACUAACAGAAUAAAUAAAACUAGCAUUAAAGUAAAAAGACUUUAAUGAAAAAGAAAGACGACAAGACCCUGAUGAACUUCAACAUAAAAUGUUAAGCUGGGGCGGCUUAAAAAAAACACCUUACCUUUAAAACACACAUACACCUAUAAAAUAUAUAGUAAAAACCAGUUACCACAGGGAUAACAGCAUCAUAUUCUUCAGGAGCACUCAUCCAAAAGAAUCAUUAUGACCUCGAUGUUGAAUUAUCUAUAAUAAUAAGUAACCAUAUUAACCACAGGUCUGUUCGACCUUAGAAAGAUACGUGAU